CGGGAAAGUUCUCUACUAGUUAGCCUACAAGCUACAGCGGGAGGUUCAGCCUGCGCUCCCGCGAGGAAUGCUGAACUGCUUCGGUCACUGUGUGAUGUGACAACUUUCCUCCGCAAGUGAACUGUGGAAAGGAGAGCUGGAAUGAGAUUUGUGCUGCGAACAGAAGAGAGGAAAGCAUAGACACCAUAGUGGAAAGGAUGUAUAUGAUAUAAGGUAUGUUAUAAUGUAAGGAAUAUCAAAGCAUUAGCGGCUGUAAUGUUUAUUUAAACAAACAAAAAUGUGAGCUGUUUUAAUAUCAUCUUGUAAAGACCUGUAAUUCAAAUGCACAUUUUAACCAGGGAAGCACCAAAAAUUUGUCUGAAAAUAAUAGAGCAAUAGAGCACACCGAAC
rnacentral:lncRNA from 1 species